rnacentral:rRNA from 1 species
AUGGCAACCGCGGCGGCGGCGGCGCCGAGGCACAGCUGCGCGAAGCUCUCGGUGGCGGUCGAGGACCCCAAGGCGCCGGGCGGCGGCGUAUUCGUGAAGGCCACGUGGCUCCCCACCCGCUUCUCCCUCGCCGUCACCGACGGCGCCGGCGCCUGGGUCGCCGACGCCUCCGACGCCGAGGUGCGCCUCCGGGCCGAGCAGUGGGACCAGCCCGUCUCCGAGUACCUCGCGCUCGCCGAGCGCUACCUCGCCUUCCACCAGCCCUCCUCCACCUACUCCUUCCACGAGGCUGGCGCCGGCCGCAGGUUGUCAUGGACAUUCGAAAAACAAGGUACCAAGCUGGAAUGGCGUUGGAAACUGCAGCCGGCACCACACCCACAACAGACUAUAGCUGAGGUCUUGGAUUUUCUUAUGGAUGCGAAUAUACGCUUGAGUGAAGAGGUUGUCAGGAAGACGCAAUCAUUUGAGAAGCUGAAACAAGAAGCUGAGAAUUGCUUGCAACAGAGUGAAAGAUUUAACACCGAGAAGGCUGAGUUUGAGCAAGCCUCCUUUACAAAGUUUGUGGCCGUUCUGAACUCGAAGAAGAGCAAGCUGAGACAGCUCAAGGACAGAAUCGCGGCGCUCGAAUCUGCCGACAAGGCUCCAAAGGAGGAGGAGGAGGAGGGCCACUCCACCGACAGAACAGAGCCUAUCGAGGAAGGGAGCGACAAAGAUCACUGCGUCAACGACGAGCCCUCGGAGACGGGCGGCGGCGGCGACCCCCACAGCUCCCCCGAGAAGUCCGCCGCCGCGGCCGCCACCUCCAGGGGCCGGAGGGGGCGCAAGAGGACGAGGAAGUGA